rnacentral:rRNA from 1 species
CAGCAGCCGCGGGAAUACGUAGGUGGCAAGCGUUGUCCGGAAUUAUUGGGCGUAAAGGGCUCGCAGGCAGUUUCUUAAGUCUGAUGUGAAAGCCCCCGGCUCAACCGGGGAGGGUCAUUGGAAACUGGGAAACUUGAGUGCAGAAGAGGAGAGUAGAAUUCCACGUGUAGCGGUGAAAUGCGUAGAGAUGUGGAGGAACACCAGUGGCGAAGGCGACUCUCUGGUCUGUAACUGACGCUGAGGAGCGAAAGCGUGGGGAGCGAACAGGAUUAGAUACCCGAGUAGUCCCUGUCUCUUACAC